GACGCGGCUGCAGUUACCGGGUUUCUAAGGCCUCGUGCCCUGACGGGAAGGUGGCGUUGGGGGGCGGCUGGGUUUACCCUUCGAGGUGAGCGCGGCCUUGUUUUCAGGGACGCCCGGACGGGAGGCGUUUGUUGCUUUCGCAGCCGAGUGGUGGAAAUGUAUUGGCUCUUCAGGGCUGGUCUGGUAGUGUCUGGUCCGUUUGGGAGUGUUUUUUUUUUCUGGAUUCUUUUUCAGUUCAAUGGGCCGGUCUGCUGCUCCUCUUGCCCCUCCAAUAUUAUGUUCCCCUUGCUCGAGAUCCCCGAGAGGCAGACCUCAGAGCCAGGAAGGUGGGAGGUCGGAACCCUGGUUCUGGAAGAGGGCCUUGGGCAAGGCGGGAAGGGAUUCUGAAUCUGGCUCCUAUUGUUUUUUAUUUUAAAUGGAGUUGUCUAUUUGGAGUCAAGGCAAGAGUGUUUAGUCUUGGCCCUCCUGUUACAGAGCUCUGAUGGAUUUGUUGACUCCUCUGUGGGAGAAAGGCUCGGCCUGCUAGGUGUUAACGCUAAGCCAGGCUGGAGCUGUGGACGUCAGUUUCCUCAGGUCCGCGCUGUUCACUUCGAACGUGACCUCAAGGUCUGCUCUUCCCUUCCCUUUAGCUGACAAUGUAACAGUGGAAGAAUAAUGAGUCCUAAGAUAACCACUUUUCUGCUCUCAUUCCAGGGGGUGAGAAAAGCAGCUGCUUGAAUAAAAGUCAGUCUGACAGGAACGAUAAUUUUUUUUUCAGUGAAUAUCUUCAGUUACAGAAGACAAAUAGAACUUGACAAUGAUUAUUUAUAGUGCCCUGAAAAAGAAUGGCUGCCAAAGACAAAAGUAGCAUUGCUUCUUUUCUCACCUAACUUUAAACGUCUUACGGGAAGUGCAUUACAGGAAGGCAAUGAACAAAGGCUCAACAUUUCAUAGUAAAGUCAGAUUUUCCACAUUUUAAUUUUAAAAUGACAAGAGCUUGGGAAUCACUGUAUGCUGGUACAAGCUAUAAUGUAGGUGGACCAACUAUAUCUGCCUAUUAGGCCCUAGAAACUGCAUGAUUUCCUAGACCUGCUUCUUGAAGGGCUCCACCCUGAGGCCAGUAGCCCAAUUAAGAAACCAGCAGAUGACAAAUCUUACAACUACUGGCUCUUCCUCUGUUUGUCUGUGUAGUUACAUAUGUGUAUGUAUGUGAUGUUUAUAUAAAAACAGCUCUAAUUAAUUGGCUUCUAAGAAAAAUAAGUGCUUAGAUCAAAUAUUUUUUGAAGAAAAAAGAAAAGCCGUAAAGCCUUUUAGUUCAUGUGACUUUAAUCUUUGAGAAAUAAAAACAGUUUUAAAGAUUAUUGGCAAAAUACAAAUGUCUUGAAAAUGUAAACAUGUAGUCUAAAUUGUGUUCACAUAUUAGGUUUUCUAAAUGCUUUAAGAUCAUGAAUUGCUUCUUUGGCUUUUGAAAAUUGUUCAAGUUGCUUGCUUUACAAUUUGGUGAGGCCUGGGGACAUAUGGAAUUAACCACACCCUUAACUGUUCUGGAAAGGGCCAGGCCUUAUCUGCACCUAGUACGUAAUUAAAAUAACAUACCAGGUUUUACAUUAAAAUUAAAAAUUGCUAACAGUCACCAUUAUAACAUGCAAUUGAGACUACUGAAAAUAGAUUUACAUGCAAGGUGUGUAAGGGAAGUAAAAUGUGUUUUUAGUAAAAGAUUAUAAGAAGGCAUGGGAAUGUAAGUUUUUGCCUAGUUUAGAGGGUUAAAGGACUGUUUCCAGUUAAAUAAGAUAAAGCUAAAGGUCUAAACAAGUUGCAGGAGGUUUGUAAAAAUUAAUCUUACAAAAGAAAUUUUAUGUGAACGUAUUGACUAAAUUCAAAAGGGUAUUUAUUAUAUGUUUUUUCUGUAAAUUGAGCAUUGGAAUAAAAGCACAAGGAUUUCUUAAGGCACUGAUCUGCUCUUUAACAAAAAUUUGUACAGGGUUAUAAAAGGUUUAUAAGAAUCUCACGUCACAGUCAAACUGGUUAAGAUUGGAUAGAAUUAUCUAUGAAGACUCACUAAAAAAAAUGAGGUUGACAUUAAUAGUAGACUAAUGCAAGGGUGAAAUUUGACUUUCUCUCCCUUGAACAAGAUUUUCAUGUAAUGGUAAAAUAUAAUGAAAGAUUUUUUUUUUGCCUUGUGAAUAAACUACC